GGUCACCGCCUCCUCAAACCUAUGGGUCACUUAGUAUAAACUAGGUACACAUUAGCAGAGGCUUGUGAAGGCCUUUUCUCCAUGCAUCAGGAGUUGAGCUCAGUUUGAAGAAUGAAAGAGAAUACCCUGCACUCCAAUCCUCUCUCAAAUUGAUAAUUCUGUUAAUCCUCAUGACAGCCAAGCUUUAGAUUUUGAUUUAUGUUCUUCCAAAGCUAAAAUCAAAGAU